AUAUUUAUAUUUGAUAAAUCUUUUUUUCAUUUUGAGAACUCAAAAUACCAAACAGUGAACUUGCGUUAUAAAGUCACCCUGUGAUCACCUUGUCAUCUAGUAGCAAAAUGAUGAACUAUUCAUGCAUCAAAGAAAAUUACAUCUGCUGGCCUUGUAUGAAAAUGAUCUCUUGGCAUCCCGAUUAAAUGACAUACUGUCACUGUGGGGAAGAGGAAACAGCCUUCAAUGUAGCGGCGUAGGGUGCGUCUGAGGGAGGCAUGACUGCUGUGUAUUUUCUGCCUCGUUCCAUCUCCUUUCUACGCACAGUGGAGCCUUGUUUAAAGGGGGAUUUGGGGCUGGCUGUUAACUGUCUUUUCGUCCAUUAUCUAAGAACAAUUUCUAAGAUGGAAGGAAGGCGCCAUUUCCUUACCUCUUCACCUCCAUGCCCCCACCAGAUGUAUUCAACCUAAAACCAUUGAGAAGAGAGUGAGACUGACCUUCUUUGUUUUUCCCUUUCUCAUUAGUAGAUAUUAAAUACCCACCAGUUUUUAGCUGGUCUGACUCCACUUAAGGCAUAUGCUGACAAGGUCUUCUCCCUGUCUGUUCAUCCUGCCUACGCCAGUGUGCGGAAGCCUUUAGAGGGCAUGAAAAUGCCACCUUAUAUGGGUCUGUGACUUUAAAGAGCUACGGGCAGGGACUGGGCCUGCUCUAGUCUGUGGAUUUCAGGCAGAAAAUGUAUAUACUUCUUCCAGCUUCCAAGAAUUGGAGUAAAAUGGGGUAGUCUUUUCUGUUUUACUGUAUUACUUGAACCAACAGAUUCAAGAGUAGCAUUUGUUAUUCUCAGGAAUGAUCCCCCUGCUCAUUUUCUUUCUUGGUGUGUUUGAGUUUUUAUUUCAAUUAGGAGAUUAUGUUAUCUUUCUUUCCUUUUAUAUUACUUAGGAAAAAAAAUGUAACAUAUUGUAUCUUCCCAUUCCGGUGAAAUUUUGUCUGCUUAUUCUCAGUUGAAUCAGAAAGAAAAGAGAGGAAAAUAUACUGUCUGACAAGCCACAUCCAUGAUUUAUUGUAAGGAGAUUAUUAUAAUUGAUAGCUUCUUUAUGAUGGGAUUGCUAGUAUCAUUUGUUCUUGCUGGUCUUUUUAAAGAAACAGACUCAAACUGUUAAGACAGCUGCAGUUUCUAAAGAAAUACAGUGAUUGCCAGAGAAGAGCUAAAAGGUUUCAUUGUUUUAAGGCCUUAAGGAAGGAGAAA
rnacentral:lncRNA from 1 species